GGGCGGAUGGCGAAAUUGGUAGACGCAGCAGACUCAAAAUCUGCCGCCCUCUAAAGGCAUGAGAGUUCGAGUCUCUCUCCGCCCA
rnacentral:tRNA from 3 species